rnacentral:snoRNA from 1 species
AUACCAAGUGAUGAAAAUGGAUUUUAAAUUUCUCACGACGGUCAUCUGAGACUCUGUGUCGAAGUUGAUUCAAAGAUCCAAUUUUUCUGAUGUUU